CGAUGGAGGGGGAUAACUACUGGAAACGGUAGCUAAUACCGCAUAACGUCGCAAGACCAAAGAGGGGGACCUUCGGGCCUCUUGCCAUCGGAUGUGCCCAGAUGGGAUUAGCUAGUAGGUGGGGUAACGGCUCACCUAGGCGACGAUCCCUAGCUGGUCUGAGAGGAUGACCAGCCACACUGGAACUGAGCACGGUCCAG
rnacentral:rRNA from 1 species